rnacentral:misc_RNA from 1 species
GAUCAUUAACGCGCAGGCCGGAGGCUGGCCCCCCACGAUAGGGCCAAACGUCCGUCAGGGGUGAGCAGAUGUGCGCCGGCCGUACCGCCCCAUUCUUGUCUACCUUACUCGGUUGCCUCGGCGGGCCGCGCUCUCCCAGGAGAGCCGUUCGGCGAGCCUCUCUUUAGUGGCUAAACGCUGGACCGCGCCCGCCGGAGGACAGACGCAAAAAAAUUCUUUCAGAAGAGCUGUCAGUCUGAGCGUUAGCAAGCAAAAAUCAGUUAAAACUUUCAACAACGGAUCUCUUGGUUCCGGCAUCGAUGAAGAACGCAGCGAAAUGCGAUAAGUAAUGUGAAUUGCAGAAUUCCGUGAAUCAUCGAAUCUUUGAACGCACAUUGCGCCCCCUGGCAUUCCGGGGGGCAUGCCUGUUCGAGCGUCAUUUCAGCCCCUCAAGCCCGGCUUGUGUGAUGGACGACCGUCCGGCGCCCCCGUCUUUGGGGGUGCGGGACGCGCCCGAAAAGCAGUGGCCAGGCCGCGAUUCCGGCUUCCUAGGCGAAUGGGCAACAAACCAGCGCCUCCAGGACCGGCCGCCCUGGCCUCAAAAUCUGUUUUAUACUUAUCAG